UACAGAGGGUGCGAGCGUUAAUCGGAAUUAUUGGGCGUAAAGCGUGCGUAGACGGUUAUGUAAGUCGGGUGUGAAAGCCCCGGGCUCAACCUGGGAAUGCCAUUCGAGACUGCAUAGCUAGGGUGCGGAAGAGGGAAGCGGAAUUUCAGGUGUAGCGGUGAAAUGCGUAGAUAUCUGGAGGAACACCGGUGGCGAAGGCGACAUCCUGGACCGGUAUUGACGCUGAGGCGCGAAAGCCAGGGGAGCAAACGGG
rnacentral:rRNA from 1 species